rnacentral:rRNA from 1 species
UACGUAGGGUGCGAGCGUUAAUCGGAAUUACUGGGCGUAAAGCGUGCGCAGGCGGUUGUGCAAGACAGAUGUGAAAUCCCCGGGCUCAACCUGGGAAUUGCAUUUGUGACUGCACGGCUAGAGUGUGUCAGAGGGGGGGUAGAAUUCCACGUGUAGCAGUGAAAUGCGUAGAGAUGCGGAGGAAUACCGAUGGCGAAGGCAGCCCCCUGGGAUAACACUGACGCUCAUGCACGAAAGCGUGGGGAGCAAACAGG